GGGGUUGUGGCUCAGUGGUAGAGUGCUUACCUAGCAUGUGUGAGGCACUGGGUUCGAUCCUCAGCACCUCA
rnacentral:tRNA from 1 species